CCUCCGGUAGCUCAGCAGGAAGAGCGAACAGAGCACAAUAUAGUGUGACAAACGAAUGGAUCUCUGUGGACGCUGGUUCGAGUCCAGCUCGGAGGG